ACUGCCUUUGCUACAGAUAAGUGUGGGACAGUGCCACUGUAUCUUGGGAUAUCAGCCUUCCCAUAAUGGACACUAUUGCAUCCAAAAACUGUACCAGGUGUGCAAGGACAAAAGAAUUCGCAACCAGAAUGGAGACUGUCUGGACAAACACCAGUGGUCCCUCCUCUGCAGACAGCAGGUUUGUCAAACUUCAGAGGACUACCAGGGGUAUGAUGGUGAGCUGGGUUUGUGUGUUUGCAAAGAGCCCCCUGGCAGAGCAUCAUGUGAGGGCCUUUGCAGAGUUCAUGGGGCUACUCAGCUGAGGCUGUGGUGCAGAUCCAAUGGAAGCUUAGAGCUGGAGUGGAGCAAUGAAAGCCAUGUGUCGAGCGUCUCAGGUAGCACGCUGGAAACACUUUUCAAACAGUGGGACUCUCAGGGGAACCUGCAGUGCCCCAGCCAGCAGAACUCCUCACGCCCUAUCUACAUAGUUCACACAUCAGAUGCUGGUUUCCUUGGUAUCCUCAGUGGUC
rnacentral:lncRNA from 1 species